GAGUUUGAUCAUGGCUCAGGAUGAACGCUAGCGGCAGGCUUAACACAUGCAAGUCGAGGGGUAUAGGUUUUCGGACCUAGAGACCGGCGCACGGGUGCGUAACGCGUAUGCAAUCUGCCUUGUACUGGGGGAUAGCCCAGAGAAAUUUGGAUUAAUACCCCAUAGUAUAAUAGAAUCGCAUGGUUUUAUUAUUAAAGUUCCAACGGUACAAGAUGAGCAUGCGUCCUAUUAGCUAGUUGGUGUGGUAACGGCAUACCAAGGCGACGAUAGGUAGGGGUCCUGAGAGGGAGAUCCCCCACACUGGUACUGAGACACGGGCCAGACUCCUACGGGAGGCAGCAGUGAGGAAUAUUGGUCAAUGGGCGCAAGCCUGAACCAGCCAUGCCGCGUGCAGGAAGACGGUCCUAUGGAUUGUAAACUGCUUUUGUACGGGAAGAAACACUCCUACGUGUAGGAACUUGACGGUACCGUAAGAAUAAGGAUCGGCUAACUCCGUGCCAGCCGCCGCAGUAAC
rnacentral:rRNA from 1 species